rnacentral:rRNA from 1 species
AUUGAACGCUGGCGGCAGGCCUAACACAUGCAAGUCGAGCGAGCGGCGGACGGGUGAGUAAUGUCUGGGAAACUGCCUGAUGGAGGGGGAUAACUAUUGGAAACGGUAGCUAAUACCGCAUACUACUAGAUCUGCCCAGAUGGGAUUAGCUAGUAGGUGGGGUAACGGCUCACCUAGGCAACGAUCCCUAGCUGGUCUGAGAGGAUGACCAGCCACACUGGAACUGAGACACGGUCCAGACUCCUACGGGAGGCAGCAGUAGGGAAUAUUGCACAAUGGGCGAAAGCCUGAUGCAGCAAUGCCGCGUGAGUGAAGAAGGCCUUCGGAUUGUAAAGCACUUUCAGCAGGGAAGCGUUACCCAAAGAAGAAGCACCGGCUAACUCCGUGCCAGCAGCCGCGGUAAUAC